rnacentral:lncRNA from 1 species
GGCAUUGACAUUUCAAAAUUUUCGCAUUUCUUUUAUAGGAGAUCCACCCGUUAAAAGUGAAUGGAAAAUGGCGCCGACCUGAUGGAUGUUUUACAAGCAAAUUGGUGAUAAAGCACGGGUCAAACCCUGAGACUUUCUACUGCUUCUGAUGACUCUUGGAUAAAGACCAAAAUCCUAACCCGAAGACCAGGAACCAGUGGUGCUCCUCCCUCCUCAAACCAUAGCUGCCACACCCCAACUCUUUGCACAUAGGCUUCUGGUCUUGAGCUGAUGCAUCGUGACAGCAUCCCUCCAGGCUCCUUACGCUUUCAGAUUCAAGCCAGUCAUUGCUUCUUCAAGAAGGUUCUUCCUGCCCUGCUCCCAUAGAUAUAAUCAAGCUUCCCAAUCUGUCAUUCUUUAACAUCAUUAAACUGUCUUUUGAAGCAUCUACUGUAAUUGCAAUACAUAUAAUUUAUAAUUUGUCUGAUGCUACUUCCCCAACCAGAUUCUAAAUCCCAUUGAAACAUGAACAGUAU